GCCCGAGUGAGUGCCACUAGAGGUGUUAAUAGACCGUAAUGUAAACACUGCCUUUUACAUUAAAAAAACCUGCAGGAUCAAGCUAUGGACACCAGAACUACAUUAAGCAGUAGUUGUUCUGGUGACUAUAGUGUUCCUUUAAUGAGCUUUAUGCAAGAGUUCAUUGAGAAAUGCAGAAUCUUCAUCAGAUGAGGCAUCAGAAUCUUCAGAACUUCUUGAAUCUACAGACUCUUCCACUCUAUUCUUAUUUUCUGAGGCCUUAAGUCCCAUUCUGGCGAAAAAAAUACUGUACGUAACUAAACAGGGGACAAAGUAAAAGUAGAAGGUCUUACCUUGUUAGACCUCAGUGUGAGGUGUAGGGCUGGUAAGAGCACACCUACAACAGAGCUUAACAGCAGUUGGCUGACAGGUAGUUGUGGCUGGGUUGUAAAAUCUCCAAUGCCUUUAUAUUUGAAUUUGGUGCCAAAGCUUUUAGACCGCAUUGCUCUCUUGCAUAGUGUGCAGCGAUCUCUCGCCGGAACACAUCGCAACCAGUCCGUGCAUACCACCUUAACAGUCUCCAAGCCAUGCACUUGCGCACACACUGUUUG